ACGGUGGCCCAUGCCUGUAAUCCUAGCAGUUUGGGAAGCUGAGACCACUCUGGCCUGCCACACCCCCCAUCUUGUGCCCAUAAAAAUCCGAGACCUAGCAGGUGCAGACACAAGCAGAUGGAUGUUGAGAGGAACACACCAGCAGACACUGGCAGAACAUCAAUGACGGAAUGACAUGGAUGCUAAGGUGUCCUAGAGCAGCAGGACUUGGAGAACUCCUGGCUCUUGCUCUUGGCUAUGCUCUUGGCUGCUUGGCAUAUCUCACACCAUCAGACUUACUCAAGACAAGAGAGGCUUCAUGAAGAUUUCCUUCAAUUUUAUUUCCCCUCCCAACACAAUAAUCUGUUGCAAAUAUUAGUAUAUGAUUUGGACAGAAUGAGAGAAAUAUUAAAGGAGACCACUGGCUGUUACAACCUGACUGCAUUGGAUACUCUUGCAAAUGGGUAGGCGGAGUGUCGUGCGUAAGAGCACGGUCUCUGGAUUCAAUGGCUUGGUUCUGCACUGAGUCUUUGCCAUGGACCAGCUGGGUGACCUUGAGACACUAACUGCUUUCCUUUGUGCCACAGGUUCCUUAUUAGUAAAAUGGGGAAUAAUGAACCCUACCUCAUAGGGUUCUUACAAAGAUUAAAUCAAUUAAUACAUGUAAAUCACUCAAAACAUGCCUGGUCCAUAUUAAUCCUGUCUUCAUAUUUGUGCUUUGUUACUGAUCCUUUUGAAUUUUGUUUAUUGUAAUAUUUUAAAAUAUUCCAUUAAAAUAUUAUUUUGUCU